UUGAACGCUGGCGGCAGGCCUAACACAUGCAAGUCGAGCGGAUGAAGGGAGCUUGCUCCUGGAUUCAGCGGCAGACGGGUGAGUAAUGCCUAGGAAUCUGCCUGGUAGUGGGGGAUAACGUCCGGAAACGGGCGCUAAUACCGCAUACGUCCUGAGGAGGAAGUGGGGGAUUUUCGGACCUCACGCUAUCAGAUGAGCCUAGGUCGGAUUAGCUAGUUGGUGGGGUAAAGGCCUACCAAGGCGACGAUCCGUAACUGGUCUGAGAGGAUGAUCAGUCACACUGGAACUGAGACACGGUCCAGACUCCUACGGGAGGCAGCAGUGGGGAAUAUUGGACAAUGGGCGAAAGCCUGAUCCAGCCAUGCCGCGUGUGUGAAGAAGGUCUUCGGAUUGUAAAGCACUUUAAGUUGGGAGGAAGGGCAGUAAGUUAAUACCUUGCUGUUUUGACGUUACCAACAGAAUAAGCACCGGCUAACUUCGUG
rnacentral:rRNA from 1 species